GACGAACGCUGGCGGCGUGCUUAACACAUGCAAGUCGAGCGGUAAGGCUCCUUCGGGAGUACACGAGCGGCGAACGGGUGAGUAACACGUGAGCAAUCUGCCCUUCACAUGGGAAUAACUUCGGGAAACCGAAGCUAAUACCGAAUACGACCACCGGUGGCAUCUUCUGGUGGUGGAAAGUUCCGGCGGUGAAGGAUGAGCUCGCGGCCUAUCAGCUAGUUGGUGAGGAAUGGCCCACCAAGGCGACGACGGGUAGCCGGCCUGAGAGGGUGACCGGCCACACUGGGACUGAGACACGGCCCAGGACUCCUACGGGAGGCAGCAGUGGGGAAUAUUGGACAAUGGGCGAAAGCCUGAUCCAGCAACGCC
rnacentral:rRNA from 1 species